rnacentral:rRNA from 1 species
GGGUGAGUAAAAGGUAGGAAUCUACCCCUUGGACGGAGAUAGCUACUGGAAACGGUAGGUAAACUUCGAUAAGCCCGAGAGGGGAAAGUGGUGAGACAGCCGAGGGAUGAGCCUACUCUCCAUCAGGUAGUUGGUGAGAUAAAAGCUUACCAAGCCGAUGACGGAUAACCGGUGUGAGAGCAUGAACGGUCACAAGGGCACUGAGAGACGGGCCCUACUCCUACGGGAGGCAGCAGUGGGGAAUCUUGGACAAUGGGCGAAAGCCUGAUCCAGCGGCGCCGCGUGGAGGAAGAAGUCCUUCGGGAUGUAAACUUCUGAACUAACCGAAUAAAAGGCCUGUGGACACACAGGAGAAGAAAGUAGGCUAGGAAAAGUCCCGGCUAACUACGUGCCAGCAGCCGCGGUAAGACGUAGGGGGCAAGCGUUACCCGGAAUUACUGGGCGUAAAGGGGGCGUAGGCGGUAAAAGAAGUCAUCUGUGAAAACCUAUUGCUCAACGAUAGGCUAGCGGAUGAAACUGAAUUACUUGAGGGCACCAGAGGUAGACGGAAUUACCCGAGUAGGGGUGAAAUCCGCAGAUACGGGUAGGAACGCCGGUGGAGAAGUCGGUCUACUGGGGUGCACCAGACGCUGAGGCCCGAAAGCUAGGGGAGCAAACCGGAUUAGAUACCCGGGUAGUCCUAGCCGUAAACGAUGCUCACUAGGUGUAGGGAGUGAUAAACUCUCUGUGCUGAAGCGAACGCGCUAAGUGAGCCGCCUGGGGAGUACGUCCGCAAGGAUGAAACUCAAAGGAA